rnacentral:rRNA from 1 species
GAUGAACGCUGGCGGCGUGCCUAAUACAUGCAAGUCGAGCGAACGGACGAGAAGCUUGCUUCUCUGAUGUUAGCGGCGGACGGGUGAGUAACACGUGGAUAACCUACCUAUAAGACUGGGAUAACUUCGGGAAACCGGAGCUAAUACCGGAUAAUAUUUUGAACCGCAUGGUUCAAAAGUGAAAGACGGUCUUGCUGUCACUUAUAGAUGGAUCCGCGCUGCAUUAGCUAGUUGGUAAGGUAACGGCUUACCAAGGCAACGAUGCAUAGCCGACCUGAGAGGGUGAUAGGCCACACUGGAACUGAGACCCGGUCCAGACUCCUACGGGAGGCAGCAGUAGGGAAUCUUCCGCAAUGGGCGAAAGCCUGACGGAGCAACGCCGCGUGAGUGAUGAAGGUCUUCGGAUCGUAAAACUCUGUUAUUAGGGAAGAACAUAUGUGUAAGUAACUGUGCACAUCUUGACGGUACCUAAUCAGAAAGCCACGGCUAACUACGUG